UUGCCCCUACGGGGCGCAGCAGUGAGGAAUAUUGGUCAGUGGACGAGAGUCUGAACCAGCCACGUAGCGUGAAGGAUGACUGCCCUAUGGGUUGUAAACUUCUUUUAUAAAGGAAUAAAACGAGGCACGUGUGCCUUUUUGCAUGUACUUUAUGAAUAAGGAUCGGCUAACUCCGUGCCAGCAGCCGCGGUAAUACGGAGGAUCCGAGCGUUAUUCGGAUUUAUUGGGUUUAAAGGGAGCGUAGAUGGGUUGUUAAGUCAGUUGUGAAAGUUUGCGGCUCAUCCGUAAAAUUGCAAUUGAUACUG
rnacentral:rRNA from 1 species